rnacentral:rRNA from 1 species
GAUGAACGCUAGCGGCAGGCUUAAUACAUGCAAGUCGAGGGGUAACAUGGGGUAGCAAUACUCUGAUGACGACCGGCAAACGGGUGCGGAACACGUACGCAACUUUCCCAAAACUGGUGAAUAGCCCUCCGAAAGGAGGAUUAAUACACCGUAACAUAUAGAGGUGGCAUCGCCUUUAUAUUAUAGCUCCGGCGGUUUUGGAUGGGCGUGCGCCUGAUUAGGUAGUUGGUGUGGUAACGGCUCACCAAGCCUACGAUCAGUAACUGGUGUGAGAGCACGACCAGUCACACGGGCACUGAGACACGGGCCCGACUCCUACGGGAGGCAGCAGUAAGGAAUAUUGGUCAAUGGACGAAAGUCUGAACCAGCCAUGCCGCGUGAAGGAUGAA